CCUGAAUCAAACCAGGAAGUCAUCCUGUAACUGUCAAGGUUCAUUGCUGAAACUCCUGUUUCCUCUGACAGAAAUACAGUCAUUGGAAAAGGAAGACAGGGUUUUGGAUUAAAGAGCAGCAGACCUCAGACGAUCCACCCUGCCCAAACAACCGGACCAGGCACCACAGCAGGCGCUGUGAUCGCUCAGAAGGGAGGAAAAAAGAGCCGGGAUACGAGCACUCGACGGGCGCAAGACUCUGGUGAGAUGAGACGUUGCUUUGGACGCCCUUAGACGAGGACGGGCUCUAAAAGUUCUACAGCAGCAUUGCGGAUCAUCCCGUGAUGUUGGUCCAGAGUCAGAACCUGGUCCCUGGUGACAGACUUCUUGUGGAGGAUUUAACAGAAGCGGAAAGAGACCAUAGACCUUCCAUUACUUAAGUCUGG